AUUGAACGCUGGCGGCAGGCCUAACCCAUGCAAGUCGAACGAGUGGCGGACGGGUGAGUAAUGUCUGGGACACUGCCCGAUGGAGGGGGAUAAUUACUGGAAACGGUAGCUAAUACCGCAUACCAUCGGAUGUGCCCAUAUGGGAUUAGCUAGUAGGUGGGGUAACGGCUCACCUAUGCGACGAGCCCUAGCUGGUCUGAGAGGAUGACCGUCCACACUGGAACUGAGACACGGUCCAGACUCCUACGGGAGGCAGCAGUGGGGAGUAUUGCACAAUGGGCGCAAGCCUGAUGCAGCCAUGCCGCGGGUAUGAAGAAGGCCUUCGGGUUGUAAAGUACUUUCAGCGAGGAGGCGUUACUCGCAGAAGAAGCACCGGCUAACUCCGUGCCAGCCGCCGCGGUAAUUC
rnacentral:rRNA from 1 species